GCCGAGCCCCGGGGAUGUCGCCGUUGAAUUGCCCCGUCACGGGCCGGGCCUUCCCGCGGUGCCGGGCUGCGGCCGGCGAGGGAGAGCGCCUCCGUAUCGGGCCGCUGACUCGGAGGAGAGGGAAGCGUGGUGCUUCCCUUGGCCGGGCACGGGGGCUCGGUUCUACCCUAGCUGGUACCGCGGCGAGAAGAGAGGCGCUGGGGCAGCCAGCCAGGUCGUGCGUGGAGGCUGAGAGGGCGGCUUCGCUGGCGGUGAGGGGCGGUUUAGAGCCUUGUGGUGUGUCCUGUGCCUCCGUGCCACUCCGGGGACUUCAGGGCUGCCCGGACAGCCGUUUGUUCCCCAUAAGUGUUUCUUCCAGUUAAUCUUGUUACCAGCGUUGUGCUGUGGGAUCUGAGAGGUACGAUAGCGGUUUGGAAUGGGACUUGGGCUGUCCCAAACAGUACCGGAACAUCAGAGUCAGAGCUUGGCAGUAAUCCAUGCUCCCCAUUGUUACACCUGAAUACGGUGUGUGUGUCCUGUGCAGCAUGGCCUGUGAGAUAAUAGCAACCAGCCUUUAUUUCCAGCGUCUGCAAACCUUCUGAGAUUAAGCUGCAGCCAAAAUUAUUUUUCUUCUUUAGGUAACUGAAUCUAUUUUUCUUUUUCCAGUGCACCAGGUUCUGCAGAAGUGCCUCCUAGUGCUCUUUUUAGGGUCCUCUGUAACAAUGUAGCCAGUUUUUAGUAGUGCAAAGGCAGUUUAUCCACAGCGUGCCUAAAGGAUCUUCAGUACUGGACCAGAUGAGUUGCUUGUUCUUGCAGAACCAUCCUGAUGCUCUCUCCCUAGAUCCCAGUGGCUCUUUCCCAGCUGCAGCAGCCUGACUGUGUGCAUUACAUAGCACAUCUGUACAUUCAUCUGUUCUCCAGGAAAGGAAGUUGCUGAGAUCAGUCUGCACAAGUUGUCAGUAGUAGCCAGUUUCUUUUGUGUCUGACCUGCUGUGUGGAAUAGGCUUACCUGGGUAGGCUGUGCAGUCCUGGAGAGCCCUUUUCGCAAGAACAGAUUUCCAGUAUACUGAUACCAGACUGAAAUGCCAGCACUCUGCCUGGUUCUCAGUAUUUGUGAGCAAAAGUUUCUGAAGGCGCUUAUUCAUUCUCACACCUACGUGUCAGAUUUACAGACUGGUUGAGACUGUCCGAGACCUCUGGGUCCAUCUUCUCCAACCCCUGCUCAAGCAGGGACACCCAGAGCAGGAUGUCCAGGGCCAUGUCCAGGCUGCUUCUGAAGAUCUCCAAGGAGACUCCACAGCCACUGGCAGCCUGUGUCAGUGCUCAGCCAGCUGCACAGUUGUGAAGCACUGCAUGAUGUUUAGAAGAAAGAUCUGAUGUUCCAGUUUGCCACAGAUUUUGCAGCUUUUAAAACAGCUUACCUUCCUUCUCAUAUUGUUUUAGAAUAUAGUUUUAGUGGAUUGUUCUGAAUUCCAGCCUCAUUCACAUAACUAAUUAAAAAAAAAAAUCUGCAUCAA